rnacentral:rRNA from 1 species
UUUAAUUGGAGAGUUUGAUCCUGGCUCAGAAUGAACGCUGGCGGCGUGCUUAACACAUGCAAGUCGAACGAGAAACCCCGGCUUGCCGGGGGAGUAAAGUGGCGCACGGGUGAGUAACGCGUGGGUAAUCU